GAGGGUAUAGCUCAGUUGGUGGAGUUCCUGCUUGGCAUGCGCGGUCCUGGGUUCAAUCCCUGGUACCUCCA
rnacentral:tRNA from 1 species